rnacentral:rRNA from 1 species
UGACACGUGUCAUUUAUUUGAAAGGGGCAAUUGCUCCACUACAAGAUGGACCUGCGUUGUAUUAGCUAGUAGGUGAGGUAAUGGCUCACCUAGGCGACGAUACAUAGCCGACCUGAGAGGGUGAUCGGCCACACUGGGACUGAGACACGGCCCAGACUCCUACGGGAGGCAGCAGUAGGGAAUCUUCGGCAAUGGGGGCAACCCUGACCGAGCAACGCCGCGUGAGUGAAGAAGGUUUUCGGAUCGUAAAGCUCUGUUGUAAGUCAAGAACGGGUGUGAGAGUGGAAAGUUCACACUGUGACGGUAGCUUACCAGAAAGGGACGGCUAACUACGUGCCAGCAGCCGCGGUAAUACGUAGGUCCCGAGCGUUGUCCGGAUUUAUUGGGCGUAAAGCGAGCGCAGGCGGUUUGAUAAGUCUGAAGUUAAAGGCUGUGGCUCAACCAUAGUUCGCUUUGGAAACUGUCAAACUUGAGUGCAGAAGGGGAGAGUGGAAUUCCAUGUGUAGCGGUGAAAUGCGUAGAUAUAUGGAGGAACACCGGUGGCGAAAGCGGCUCUCUGUCUGUAACUGACGCUGAGGCUCGAAAGCGUGGGGAGCGAACAGGAUUAGAUACCCUGGUAGUCCACGCCGUAAACGAUGAGUGCUAGGUGUUGGAUCCUUUCCGGGAUUCAGUGCCGCAGCUAACGCAUUAAGCACUCCGCCUGGGGAGUACGACCGCAAGGUUGAAACUCAAAGGAAUUGGCGGGGGCCCGCACAAGCGGUGGAGCAUGUGGUUUAAUUCGAAGCAACGCGAAGAACCUUACCAGGUCUUGACAUCCCGAUGCUAUUUCUAGAGAUAGAAAGUUACUUCGGUACAUCGGUGACAGGUGGUGCAUGGUUGUCGUCAGCUCGUGUCGUGAGAUGUUGGGUUAAGUCCCGCAACGAGCGCAACCCCUAUUGUUAGUUGCCAUCAUUCAGUUGGGCACUCUAGCGAGACUGCCGGUAAUAAACCGGAGGAAGGUGGGGAUGACGUCAAAUCAUCAUGCCCCUUAUGACCUGGGCUACACACGUGCUACAAUGGUUGGUACAACGAGUUGCGAGUCGGUGACGGUGAGCUAAUCUCUUAAAGCCAAUCUCAGUUCGGAUUGUAGGCUGCAACUCGCCUACAUGAAGUCGGAAUCGCUAGUAUCGCGGAUCAGCACGCCGCGGUGAAUACGUUCCCGGGCCUUGUACACACCGCCCGUCACACCACGGGAGUUUGUAACACCCGAAGUCGGUGAGGUAACCUUUUGGAGCCAGCCGCCCAAGGUGGGACAGAUGAUUGGGGUGAAGUCGUAACAAGGUA